rnacentral:tRNA from 1 species
GCACCAGUGGUCUAGUGGUAGAAUAGUACUCUGCCACGGUACAGACCCGGGUUCAAUUCCGGCUUGUGCA